rnacentral:rRNA from 1 species
AGUGAACGCUGGCGGUAGGCCUAACACAUGCCAGUCGAACGGCAGCACAGUAAGAGCUUGCUCUUACGGGUGGCGAGUGGCGGACGGGUGAGGAAUACAUCGGAAUCUACUUUUUCGUGGGGGAUAACGUAGGGAAACUUACGCUAAUACCGCAUACGACCUACGGGUGAAAGCAGGGGAUCUUCGGUCCUUGCGCGAUUGAAUGAGCCGAUGUCGGAUUAGCUAGUUGGCGGGGUAAAGGCCCACCAAGGCGACGAUCCGUAGCUGGUCUGAGAGGAUGAUCAGCCACACUGGAACUGAGACACGGUCCAGACUCCUACGGGAGGCAGCAGUGGGGAAUAUUGGACAAUGGGCGCAAGCCUGAUCCAGCCAUACCGCGUGGGUGAAGAAGGCCUUCGGGUUGUAAAGCCCUUUUGUUGGGAAAGAAAAGCAGCAGGUUAAUACCCCGCUGUUCUGACGGUACCCAAAGAAUAAGCACCGGCUAACUUCGUG